AGCUCCAAUAGCGUAUAUUAAAGUUGUUGCGGUUAAAAAGACUCGUAGUUGGAUUUCUGCUGAGGACGACCGGUCCGCCCUCUGGGUGAGCAUCUGGCUCGGCCUUGGCAUCUUCUUGGUGAACGUAGCUGCACUUGACUGUGUGGUGCGGUACCCAAGUACUUUUACUUGAGGAAAUUAGAAUGUUUCAAGCAGGCAUACGCCUUGAAUACAUUAGCAUGGAAUAAUAAGAUAGGACCUCGGUUCUAUU
rnacentral:rRNA from 1 species